UGGGGGAACAGUGGGACACCAAUCAGGCCCCAGAGGACUGGAAUUUCUCCAGGCUGGGCUAGGCAGAACGUUGUGAAAGUGGACAUGGAUGAGGAGGAAGGCGAAGCAGUGAAAUCGGGGCUUUCUAUUGUUAGAAGAGAUGCAGAGGAGGAGGGAGGUGGCGGGGAUGAGACCAACUCCGGAGGGGGCGCCAACUCGGACACAGACUGUUCAGACGGGGAGAAUGAACAGAGUUCGAACGCUCAGAGUGCAGUGGAGAAGCCACACCCUUGCUCCCAG